UACGUAGGGUGCGAGCGUUAAUCGGAAUUACUGGGCGUAAAGCGUGCGCAGGCGGUUCGUUGUGUCGGCGGUGAAAGCCCCGGGCUUAACCUGGGAAUGGCCGUUGAAACUGGCGAACUGGAGUGUGGCAGAGGGGGUGGAAUUCCGCGUGUAGCAGUGAAAUGCGUAGAGAUGCGGAGGAACACCGAUGGCGAAGGCAAUCCCCUGGGCCUGCACUGACGCUCAUGCACGAAAGCGUGGGGAGCAAACAGG
rnacentral:rRNA from 1 species